UCAAGCUACAAAGAGCGCAGGGUGGAUGCCUUGGCACUAAGAGCCGAUGAAAGACGUGAUAAGCUGCGAUAAGCAGCGGUGAGGAGCAAAUAUCCAUUGACCCGCUGAUUUCUGAAUGGGGAAACCCACAUGAGCAAACCUCAUGUAUCCAUACGCCAAUACAUAACGUAUGGAAGGGAACCCGGGGAACUGAAACAUCUAAGUACCCGGAGGAAGAGAAAGAAAAUUCGAUUUCCUGAGUAGCGGCGAGCGAAAGGGAAAGAGCCUAAACCAGAGUGCGUGCAUUCUGGGGUUAUGGACCGCAAUAAAGUGACUUGGAAGUUAGAAGAAUGGUUUUGGGAAAGCCAGCCAAAGAGAGUGAAAGCCUCGUAUUCGAAAACGGAAGAGAGCAAGCGGUAUCCGAAGUACCACGAGACACGAGAAACCUUGUGGGAAGUCGGGGGGACCACCCCCCAAGGCUAAAUACUACUUAGUGACCGAUAGCGCAUAGUACUGUGAAGGAAAGGUGAAAAGAACCCCGGGAGGGGAGUGAAAGAGAACCUGAAACCCUGUGUUUACAAGCUGUGGAACCACCAUACGAGUGGAACCGCGUACUUUUUGUAGAACGGUCCGGCGAGUUAUUUUUACUGGCAAGGUUAAGGACGGAAAGUCUGGAGCCGAAGGGAAACCAAGUCUUAAUAGGGCAAACGUCUCCGCAAGGAGACAAUGUAGUCAGUGGAAAUAGACCCGAAACCGGGUGAUCUACCCAUGUCCAGGUUGAAGUUGCCGUAAAAGGCAAUGGAGGACCGAACGCACAUCCGUUGAAAAGGGUGGCGAUGAGGUGUGGGUAGGGGAGAAAUUCCAAUCGAACCCGGAGAUAGCUGGUUCUCCUCGAAAUAGCUUUAGGGCUAGCCUCGUUUUAGACUGCUGGAGGUAGAGCACUGAAUAUCCUAGGGGGCGUCAAAGCUUACCGAAGAUUAUCAAACUCCGAAUGCCAGACAGUUGAUGAACGGGAGUCAGACUGCACGAGAUAAGUUGGGUAGUCAAAAGGGAAACAGCCCAGACCACCAGCUAAGGUCCCAAAGUGCGUGUUAAGUGGAAAAGGAUGUGGGAUUUCAAAGACAACUAGGAUGUUGGCUCAGAAGCAGCCAUUCAUUCAAAGAGUGCGUAAUAGCUCACUAGUCGAGAGGUCCUGCGCCGAAAAUGUCCGGGGCUAAAACACGACACCGAAGCUGUGGAAUUGCACAUAUGUGUAAUUGGUAGAGGAGCAUUCUUAACUGCGGCGAAGCGUUACCGUAAGGAGGCGUGGAGUGUUAAGAAGAGAGAAUGCCGGAAUGAGUAGCGAGAUGGAAGUGAGAAUCUUCCAGGCCGAAUAUCCAAGGUUUCCAGAGUAAAGCUGAUCUGCUCUGGGUAAGUCGGGGCCUAAGGCGAGGUCGAAAGACGUAGUCGAUGGACAACUGGUUGAGAUUCCAGUACCUUGUGUAAACAGAACUGUGGGGACGCAGAGAGAAAGCGGGAGCCGGGAAUGGAAAUACCGGUACAAGCGAGGUAUCCGUGAGAUAGGCAAAUCCGUCUCACAAGGAGAAGGCGUGAUGUGGACCGAAAUUUAAGUAGGGAAGUCCGUGAGCUAGCUGCCAAGAAAAGCCGCUAUUGUUUUACACAAGCCCGUACCGUAAACCGACACAGGUGGAUGAGGAGAGAAUCCUAAGGCCGGCGGGAGAAGCAUUGUUAAGGAACUCGGCAAAAUAACUCCGUAACUUCGGGAGAAGGAGUGCCUGUGAAAGCAGGCCGCAGAGAAUUGGCCCAAGCAACUGUUUAGCAAAAACACAGGUCUAUGCGAAACCGAAAGGUGAGGUAUAUGGGCUGACGCCUGCCCGGUGCUGGAAGGUUAAGGGGAGGACUUAGGAGCAAUCCGAAGGUUCGAACUUAAGCCCCAGUAAACGGCGGCCGUAACUAUAACGGUCCUAAGGUAGCGAAAUUCCUUGUCGGGUAAGUUCCGACCCGCACGAAAGGCGUAAUGAUUUGGGCACUGUCUCGACAAUGCACCCGGUGAAAUUGAAGUACCAGUGAAGAUGCUGGUUACCCGCGCCAGGACGGAAAGACCCCAUGGAGCUUUACUCUAGUUUGAUACUGGGAUUCGGUAUUGCAUGUACAGGAUAGGUGGGAGGCUGUGAAGUGGUGACGCCAGUUGCCACAGAGCCAUUGUUGGGAUACCACCCUUGCAGUAUUGGAUUUCUAACCUGCCGCCGUAAUCCGGCGGGGGGACAAUGUCAGGCGGGGAGUUUGACUGGGGCGGUCGCCUCCGAAAGGGUAUCGGAGGCGCUCAAAGGUCUUCUCAGAAUGGUUGGAAACCAUUCGCAGAGUGCAAAGGCAUAAGAAGGCUUGACUGUGACACCGACGGGUGGAGCAGGUACGAAAGUAGGACUUAGUGAUCCGGUGGUAUAAAGUGGGAUUGCCAUCGCUCAACGGAUAAAAGCUACCCUGGGGAUAACAGGCUUAUCACUCCCAAGAGUUCACAUCGACGGAGUGGUUUGGCACCUCGAUGUCGGCUCAUCGCAUCCUGGGGCUGUAGNNNCUGUAGUAGGUCCCAAGGGUUGGGCUGUUCGCCCAUUAAAGCGGUACGCGAGCUGGGUUCAGAACGUCGUGAGACAGUUCGGUCCCUAUCCGGCGCGGGCGUAGGAAAUUUGAGAGGAGCUGUCCUUAGUACGAGAGGACCGGGAUGGACUGACCUCUGGUGUAUCGGUUGUCAUACCAAUGGCACGGCCGAGUAGCCAAGUCGGGACGGGAUAAACGCUGAAGGCAUCUAAGCGUGAAGCCCCCCUCAAGAUAAGAUUUCCCAUAACACAAGUUAGUAAGACCCCUGAGAGACGAUCAGGUAGAUAGGGCAGAGGUGGAAGUGCAGUAAUGCAUGCAGCUGACUGUUACUAAUAGGUCGAGGGCUUGACCAA
rnacentral:rRNA from 1 species